CAUCGGAUGACUGAAAGCAAGCAAUGGUCUCUUAAACCAACACAUGGUAUACUAGCAAAUACCUCCGAUGA
rnacentral:tRNA from 3 species